GACGAACGCUGGCGGCGUGCCUAAUACAUGCAAGUUGAGCGCUGAAGGUUGGUACUUGUACCAACUGGAUGAGCAGCGAACGGGUGAGUAACGCGUGGGGAAUCUGCCUUUGAGCGGGGGACAACAUUUGGAAACGAAUGCUAGUACCGCAUAAAAACUUUAAACACAAGUUUUAAGUUUGAAAGAUGCAAUUGCAUCACUCAAAGAUGAUCCCGCGUUGUAUUAGCUAGUUGGUGAGGUAAAGGCUCACCAAGGCGAUGAUACAUAGCCGACCUGAGAGGGUGAUCGGCCACAUUGGGACUGAGACACGGCCCAAACUCCUACGGGAGGCAGCAGUAGGGAUUCUUCGGCAAUGGACGAAAGUCUGACCGAGCAACGCCGCGGGAGUGAAGAAGGUUUUCGGAUCGUAAAACUCUGUUGGUAGAGAAGAACGUUGGUGAGAGUGGAAAGCUCAUCAAGUGACGGUAACUACCCAGAAAGGGACGGCUAACUACGUG
rnacentral:rRNA from 1 species